AAGCAGAAGGACAGAAGGGGGAGUGGAAUGCUGACAUUCUCUGCGGGAGCCGAGCCGCUCGCCCUCUCUGCUAGAAUGCUGAGGCAGGAAGCGGGAAAUUUCCAGGCCUGCCUGGGCUACAGGGGUUUGCACGGGCAGACGGUGAUGGUCUCUACGAAUGGAAGAAAUUGCAAUUGCUCCAGGCAAGGGUUACUGAGAAUGCAGCUGCCUCCUGGCGGCCUAGCCUGUAGGCACUAGGCUACAUUUCACCAGGUGAAGGUCCUGAGUUCAAUUCCCAGCAACCACGUAGUGGCUCACAACCAUCCAUUAUGAGAUCU